AUCGUUCAUCUCAUUUAAAAUGAGACGGAAGUAAGUUUUCUUAACUGAAGGAACGCUGU
ncrna:unclassified sequences Glutamine riboswitch